GGGCCUGGACUGCUUCCUAGACAGCUCUCUGGCUUGCUCCCUCCUUCACACUUUGACCUCAUGGCACCAAUGGUUGUACCACCUGACACUCUACCCUACUGAGGCCAUUUGCUCAGAUUGGAUUUGCAAUACAUAGAUUUUUUCAGCAUUAAAAAACUUCAGCAUUAAAAAUGUAUUAAAAGAUGAUAUUUUAAUGAAUCUCUCCUUUGUGUCCUCAUGUUCACAUUAAUUUGAUGUGUUAUAUCAUCAUUUACAAUGCUUAUUGCUUCUGCAUUGCUUUACGUUACAGAAAAGUAUAUACACUGCU